rnacentral:lncRNA from 1 species
GCAGUGGAGUUUGAGUAUAGUUAUCAAUGUUUUAUGUUAUUUCAAUUUUUAGGGUAAUGGCUAUGUUUUAUAUUGAAUUAUUGAUUGUGCCUAAAAUAAGGCAAUUUGGCAAAAAUGAUAAUGAUGAUGUAUUUUGUAAGAUAUGUUUGUUGGGUUUUCUCAAAAAUAUAUAUGAGAGGAUGAUCUUCCAUUUGCAGUUUUGUUAUUUUAAGAAGCUAAUCACUGAUUGGUUCUCCAAUUUGGCCAGAAGAGGAGGGGAUGAAGGAAAACUGUUUGGUUUGUAUUUCAACUGAAACAGGUUAUGUGGAUAACUGAAAAAAUUUUUGAAUAAAAAGUUUAUCUUACUUAUUUGGCUUAUAGUUCACUUUUAUUUAAUAUUACAC